rnacentral:tRNA from 1 species
AGUCUUAUAUUCAAGUAUGAUUUUAAAUUGCAAAUUUAAAGGUGAAUUAUUAAUAUUUUAAGGCUU